GAAAGCAUGGCCUACUGGAUAACACUUUUGGCUGGUAAUCUAAAGGUCCGGGGUUCGAUUCCGCCUGGGUGCA